rnacentral:tRNA from 1 species
UCCCUGGUGGUCUAAUGGCUAAGGAUCCUGCGCGCUCACCGCCGUGGCCCGGGUUUGAUUCCCAGGUGGGGAA